rnacentral:lncRNA from 1 species
UUAAUUUCGUUGCUUGUUAAAUUAUUGUUUGUGUAUUUAUUAUUAAAUGUUAUAUCGUUAGGUUUGCCCUUACGAAAAUUUGGUUGUAGUCCUACAACCAAAUUUUCGUAAAACAAGCCUGGUGUUAUGUAGCCUUUGCUCCAUGUAAACUAAAAGUUGAUUGAAAUAUAGUAUGUAAUAUCACUCAAAGUGAUCUAAUCUUAUGAUCAACACUGCGCCGUAAAGUAUACCGGUCAAUAACACAAAUUUGCCGACAUUUUGGUUACGGACGUUAUUAAGAAACAUAUUCGGCCCUGAGAAUUAGCUCCGAAGGUCAAGUUUCAUUCGGAAUCUUCGGAGAAAGUCGAGAGAGAAAAGGUCGCGGCCGAACGCGAAACCUGAGCGAUCGGCCAGCGUAUUCUUCUUAAUUACCGAACUAUUUCGAAGAAGUUCGUGGGACAUUUCGAGCUUCCGCUGGACUCGAACGAGGUCAUCUUCCCUAAUCUGAGGGUCACGGCUUCAAUUCAAUUUCGUCCGAACCGUCAACCAAAGUGGAAGUGUCGCGUGUGAUCGUGAUCGUGUCCUUGAAUUUUCCCUAGUUUAAUAGUUAGAAUAUUCAAGUUGUGCGUUGUAGGCAAGUUUGUGCGUUUCCUUAACCAGAAUACAGGUAUGUGCUCAGUGUGUCCGUCCCGUUCCCAAAUUCCGUGCAUUGUGCUAAUUCCUUUGUGUAACAGCCGUCAACCGCAAGAACAACGUCCGCGACCGCGACAUUGCCAUCUUCGGAACGAAAGUCUCUGACAACCGUCAUUCCGUCGGGAAGGAAGCGAUCCGUCACCAAAUCGCUUCGGAGUCAACCGCGGCUGCCAAGUGCCGCCCAAGAAGGACUCAAGCCAACCACGAGCCCAUCUUCCACCAAAUUCCACGUGGAUCGUCGACCGCGGGUCCAAAGGUCGUUUUUCACCGGCGUGGUCCGCGCGCGCUAGGACCAAGAGCGCAGAACCACCAACAGUAAACGAUCGCCAUCAUCCACCGCUACCGUAGGUAACCAAUACCAGCGCCUGCAGUUAUCGGUGAGUCCGUUGCUUUUUUCAUUGUGAAGGGCGGCGUCCGGUGAGGACGCCGCGGAGGAUUUUUUUUGCCGACCAAAGGUCGUGUAUUUUUGUUGGACUGCCAAGUCGCCUCGAGGCGCGUCCAUGAAAUUUAAGGUUGGGUGCGAUAUGCUAUAAACGUGCGCACGUAAUUUUUGAAUGACCACCCAACCAAAUUUCUAUUAGUCACCCGGGUGCCAAGCAUUUUGUUCGUCUGCCGGCAUCGUCGAGGGAAACCUGCAUGAGAUGAGAAUGAAUGAGAGGAAUACACACUAGCACGAGCACAGGAGAACAGGAUUAGAUAGGAGUAGAAAAAAAAACGCACUUAGAAGACUAGAACGAUAGGUAAUCGAAAUACAUACAUGCAUGUGAUAAUUAUCCGUAAUUAAAUGAUUCGUUUUUUUUCCAUUAUACGUUGAAUGUGUUGUUUUUGAAUAAAGAUGUGAAGCGCAAGACAAAAUUGUUACACAACUAAUAGUUUGGAGAAAGAUUCUAGUUCCACGUUGCUUCGGUGCGUGUCCUUUUCGUUGAAUGUCUUCCGCGUGUUGGAAUUUGACUUUGUUUGAAUUUGUCUCUUCCACUUUGGUUGCGCCUCUGGCGGGAAGUAGUUGAAGCUGCCAAUGAUGAGAGCAUAG